AGAGAGAGCUUAGUUUCCUGGAUUUUUGAAAUUCAACUUUCCCGCGUUUCCUAGGUUACCAAACAGGGGUGAAAAAAAAACGAAGGAAAACGCAACGAAAAGAAAAGAAAAGGAAGAGAUGGAGUCUUUAUAUGCAAAACUUUACGAUAAAUAUGACAAAAGAAGAGAAAACUGUCUGAAAUGGAUGUCAUACAUAGAGAUCAAGAAGAAAAAUUCUUAAAUUAUGCGCGUGCUGCAGAGGAGUUGAUA